UGCCUCCACUUCUCGCCAUGUCUUCUCACAAGACUUUCAGGAUUAAGCGAUUCCUGGCCAAGAAACAAAAGCAAAAUUGUCCCAUUCCCCAGUGGAUUCGGAUGAAAACUGGAAAUAAAAUAAGGUACAACUCCAAAAGGAAACAUUGGAGAAGAACCAAGCUGGGUCUAUAAGGAAUUGCACAUGAGAUGGUACACAUAUUUGUGCUGUCUGAAGGUCACGAUCACAUUACCAUAUCAAACUGAAAAUGUCACCACUCUCUGGAGAGUUCGACGUAUUUUCCUCUCUGAAUCUAUUAUGAAUGCGUUGGUGGGC